CAUCUGCAAACUUGUGAUACAUUUUAAAGUGACCUUUGCUUGGUUUAGCGAUGCCUUUGUGCACGUCUUUACUGUUACUUUGUGCCUUGGCCACUUAGUGAAUCAACCCGUGCCCACUCAUAUGGACAGUCAAGGGGACAAUUCAGGGCAGUAGAGAAAUGGGCAGCAGCAAAAAGAGCUUUUGAGCCAGAAUACCUGGAUGCUAAUUCCUGGUUCUGUGGGACUUGUGUGUUUGGGGAGCCUACUUAAAUUUUUGAGCUUCCUUUGACUUCUGUAGAAAGAAGUAGGUGAUUCCUGUCUGGCCUUCUGUAUGGGUAGUGGGAGGGUCAAGUGAAGUCAUGAACAUGGGUAUAAUUUUGAACUUUAGUGAAGUGGCAACUGCAGAUGUCCUUGCCUCUAUGAGCGUAUGCUGGUGUGCUUAACACCUAGCAUAGCAGCCUGUUUCAUAGACCAAGUCCAUUUCAGAAGGAUCCAUUUCCUUCCUCACUCUGACUGCCUUACCUGCUUGGCUUCGUGGAGGUCACCAUUCCAUCAAGAUUAGAAUGCUUGCUUUGUUUUGCUGAUAGUGGUAACAUGUUUUCUCUUCUUCUGUUUUUUAAUUUGAUUAGGAAAUUUGUACAUAGAUUCCAGGCAAAAUCUCCCUCCUUCGGUGAUGCCGCCCCCUGGUUAUCCUCAUAUCCCACAGGCGCUCAGCACUCCAGGAACUACGAUGGCAGGCCAUCACGGAGCCAUGAACCAGCAGCACAUGAUGCCUUCCCAAGCCUUCCAGAUGCGGCGCUCUUUGCCUCCAGACGAUAUCCAGGAUGACUUUGAUUGGGAUUCAAUAGUGUAGGCUUGUUUCUGCAAGACAGCAGACUCCAGCAUCCUUUCUGUUCAGUGGAAGGAAGGACUAGAGUCCAGUUGAGAAAACAAAGCGAUGUUACCAGUGCUAUCUAAAUUCCUUUUGAAGACAAUCAGAGAUUCUAGCUGGGUAACUUACUGCUUUUAUCUGACCCAAGCAAGAACACGUUUGUCUCCCGCCAGUGCCCUCUGUAGCUCCUAACUGUUGUGAUUUGGACAGCUUUUUGCAUAUUUGUGUCAGUUUGAUGUUAACCACAAGUGCCAGACUGAUUUUUCAGACAGAGCCUAUUUUGCUGCAAGCAGUUUAUAGAUACAUAUGUGUAAAUACAUGUACAAACAUUACUGAAAGGCUUCAAGGUUUUUUUCUAAUUGGAUUAUUGUGUCUUGACAAGAAAGUUACUGUCAGUUUUUAUUCUUCUUUAGGCCAUUUUCUGCAGGAUGCUUUCAGACGAUGUAGGGAGCUGAAAGGAAAUGGGUCUUUCCAAAGCCCAGUUUCCUUAUUUAAUAUUCAGAAAUAGGAGUAAUCAUGAAUUCCAGCGAGUAAGUCAAGGAACCUGGAGUUGGUACUCUCCGCAGUGCAGAGGGUCUGUUGUUCUUGAGCAGGCUUAUAACGCAGGGAGUUGUAGACUGUGUGUUGUUUGUAUCUGUCAGUGUGUUUCCUCAGCCGCAUUUGGACAGCUCUGAAAUGUGUGGACAGAUUGAAGCUGGAUAUUGCUUGGCUCUUCAGACAAAUCAAUGUCUCCACAUUCAUUUAAGUAUUUAUUAUUCAGAAGUGUUAUUUUAAUAUUUAUUGCUACUUUCUGUGAAUGCACAGCUCUUUUGGGUUCACUAGGGAGAAACUUGUCUGAAAGCAUAUUUUUUUUCCAGAUAAAAGUUUACAGACAAAGACAAUCAGAAACAUUUGUCAUUCUCUUUAUCACCACUCCUUUUACCAAGUGAGUAUGCUUUCUAUCUUAUUUAGCCGUCCUGCUGUUGGAGACUUAAUAGCUACCUAGGAAUUUCCUGGAAUCUGAAUCAGAGUCUGUUUAGGCAGCAGGGUAUGGAGGCAGGUUUAUACAGCAGUGUCCUCGGGGUUUUAGGUAACGCUGGAAGGGCCUGUAGCUCCAGAGUCUGUCUGCUGACGUGCUGGUGGGUCUGUGUGCCUGACAAAGAAACACUUAGAGCUUUUAUCAGUUGCUUGUUCGUGUUAUAUCACAGUUUGCAUGGGUUGAUUGUGUUGAUUUUAUAAUGAAAGUAGAAGAAAGGAGAUUCUCCUCCCCACAGUGAAUAGAUUUUUAAUUGUUCUUUUCAAAGAAUCUGUUUUAAUGAGGAAAUAGUCUGUCAAAUCAAGGAAAAAUAACUGCUCACCAGUUGCUUGUUAGUGUCUCUGGGCUCAGCAAUGGUAAAUCAUGUAACUAAGCCUCAGCAAGUCUAUGGUUGAGUAAUCUCUACUUGAAGAAAGGUGUGUGUGUGUGUGUGUGUGUGUGUGUGUGUGUGUGUAAGUGUAAGAGAGAAAUAUUGAUCGAUUUCUAUCUGUGUACUCAUGGAGUGUUGCCUGGAAUGAAUCACUGAGAAGAAAGCAGAGCUUUGUGCAUCUCUGUUGUUUGGGUCCCACUUGGCAUGAAAAGGAAGCUCAGGUACAGCCCCUCAGAUAAGUGAAAAUCAGAGGAUUCUCAAACAGCAGCCAACAGGCCUCUCUUAGAAGGACCAGGGAAGAUGAGGUAGAUGGCUACCUGCAGAAGAAAGCAUAGGAAGAUGGGGUCCCAGUAGUUUACCCAAGUCUCGGUUUUCUCAACACCAGAACAGCUGCUCCAUGACUAGGAUUGCUCCUAGCAGUGUGCACUUUAAAUAAUUGGGUGUUGAGUACUGCAGGCUCUGAAACAGAAUGGCUUGGGUAGGACCACUGAUGAUGAUUUUACAAAUUAUGUGAAGCUAAUAUCCCAUUUUGGCAAUUAUUUACUGAUUUGCAGUGAUUUGCAUAUUUAUUAAUAUUUGAACUGACCAAGAAUGGCACUUGAGACCAGACUCAUUACUCUUCUGUGACCCUGUUCCCCAGGGGCUCAGAGCAGGCCCCAGUGGGCUGUGGCCAGACAGGGCUACCUGGUGGGUGCAGAGUCCCUCUAGUGGCCAUUUCUGUUGGUAAUUGAUGAUACAGAGCAAGUUCUCUUAGGCUUAAAUUGACUGGAGACUAAUAACCGUACGUAAACAGAUGAGGUGCUCUGUCCAGGAGAAGAGUCCGACUGGCAUUUGUGGUAGUGUUUGAAAUGUAAAUGUAUUCUUGUGUGUUCCUGUAAAUAUUUAAUACACGUCUCUCAAAUGUCCUUUGAAGUGGGAGGGGAUCGACCUUGGGAUAAUUUCAAAUGGAAUAGAGUAUUUUGAUAUGUUCAUCGAGAGGGUGAUGUGUACAUACCUAUAUUGUAUAGAUGUGGUGACAUGCAUUGGCUUUUGUGCAGAAACAACCUGCUCUCUGUGCUGCUGUUGGACAGUCAGUGUUUUAAUGUUUCUACAGUUUUCCUAUUGCACGAUUUCAUAUUCUGCCGAUGGUGAGUGGCACCCAUUCUUUGUAACCGUUUAGUGCUGUAAAGAAAUAUUCCAAGUGUCAUUAGGAUCGUCGCUGCCAGAACUGAUAUGCAUGGAUGGCACUUAAAAUAAAUAUAUUAUGAUAACUGUA